UUCUGGGCCGGAUUGUUGCUAUGCUGCGUCGGAUAGGGCAUCCUCCUAUCUCGAAGAGGAAGCCAGGUCGUCCUCCGAAGGCUGCUCCUGCUGGUGGUCCGGCUGCUGUUGAUGUGGCGGCAGCUGAAGUUUAAGUGGCGACUCCUGUUCAUUGCUGUCUCUGAUCCUGCCGUUGCUGUGACUGCAUUGCGGCUGGCACCCAUGGUUCUGCCUGCCAUUCAUCACAACCAGGUUCAUUCAACAGAAGCUAAGAUGUCCUUCCAUCUCAGAUUAUGAAAAGCUGCAAGCAGAUUUCUCUGAUCUCCGCAACAAAUAUAAUGACCUUUUGGCUGCACAUCACAAAAUUUCCAGAGACUGCUCAAUCUUCCUCUAUCUCCCCUUUGUUUGCUGCUCUGCUGCCUCCUCUCAGUUUAAGGCUUCAUCUUUCCUGGUU